rnacentral:rRNA from 1 species
UGGAGUUGCUCAAACAACCAGGAGGUUGGCUUAGAAGCAGCCAUCCUUUAAAGAAAGCGUAACAGCUCACUGGUCUAGCGAUUCUGCGCGGAAAAUAUAACGGGGCUAAAGUUAUCCACCGAAGCUGUAGAUUCUAUUUUUAAUAGAGUGGUAGGAGAGCGUUCUAGUCAGCAUUGAAGGUGUACCGGUAAGGAGCGCUGGAGCGGCUAGAAGUGAGUAUGCAGGCAUGAGUAGCGAUAAAACGGGUGAGAAUCCCGUUCGCCGAAAACCCAAGGUUUCCUACGCGAUGUUCGUCAUCGUAGGGUUAGUCGG